GAUGAACGCUAGCGGCAGGCCUAAUACAUGCAAGUCGAACGGUCAGCAAUGACAGUGGCGAACGGGUGCGUAACGCGUAAGGAACCUGCCUCUCACUGGGGGAUAGCUUUGCGAAAGCGAAGGUAAACCCGCAUGGUUCAUAGAUUUCGCAUGGGAUUUAUGAUAAACAUUUAUGGGUGGGAGAGGGUCUUGCGUCUGAUUAGUUAGUUGGCAGGGUAACGGCCUACCAAGGCGAUGAUCAGUAGGGGUUCUGAGAGGAACGGCCCCCACAUGGACACUGAGACACGGGUCCAACGCCUACGGGAGGCAGCAGUAGGGAAUAUUGGGCAAGGGGCGGAAGCCUGACCCAGCCAUGCCGCGUGCAGGACGAAGGCCCUCUGGGUUGUAAACUGCUUUUUCCGAGGAAGAAUAGUCGUACUGCGGUAUGAUAUGACGGUACUCGGAGAAUAAGCACCGGCUGACUCCGGGCCAGCAGCCGCCGUAACAC
rnacentral:rRNA from 1 species